rnacentral:rRNA from 1 species
UACGUAGGGCGCAAGCGUUGUCCGGAAUUAUUGGGCGUAAAGAGCUCGUAGGCGGCCUGUUACGUCUGCUGUGAAAACUGGAGGCUCAACCUCCAGCCUGCAGUGGGUACGGGCAGACUAGAGUGCGGUAGGGGAGAUUGGAAUUCCUGGUGUAGCGGUGGAAUGCGCAGAUAUCAGGAGGAACACCGAUGGCGAAGGCAGAUCUCUGGGCCGUAACUGACGCUGAGGAGCGAAAGCAUGGGGAGCGAACAGG